rnacentral:tRNA from 1 species
GCGACCGUGGUGAAGUGGAUAUCAUUGGGCCCUCCGAAGGCUUAGGCGCAAGUUCGAUUCUUGCCGGUCGCA